AGAAGGCUAUGUUGGCCGGGCGACGGUUGUCCCGGUUUAAGCGUGUAGGUGUGUGUUCCAGGUAAAUCCGGUUCACUUUAACACUGAGGCGUGACGACGAGGCACUACGGUGCUGAAGCAACAAAUGCCCUGCUUCCAGGAAAAGCCUCUAAGCAUCAGGUAACAUCAAAUCGUACCCCAAACCGACACAGGUGGUCAGGUAGAGAAUACCAAGGCGCUUGAGAGAACUCGGGUGAAGGAACUAGGCAAAAUGGUGCCGUAACUUCGGGAGAAGGCACGCUGACACGUAGGUGAAGUGAUUUACUCAUGGAGCUGAAGUCAGUCGAAGAUACCAGCUGGCUGCAACUGUUUAUUAAAAACACAGCACUGUGCAAACACGAAAGUGGACGUAUACGGUGUGACGCCUGCCCGGUGCCGGAAGGUUAAUUGAUGGGGUCAGCGCAAGCGAAGCUCCUGAUCGAAGCCCCGGUAAACGGCGGCCGUAACUAUAACGGUCCUAAGGUAGCGAAAUUCCUUGUCGGGUAAGUUCCGACCUGCACGAAUGGCGUAAUGAUGGCCAGGCUGUCUCCACCCGAGACUCAGUGAAAUUGAACUCGCUGUGAAGAUGCAGUGUACCCGCGGCAAGACGGAAAGACCCCGUGAACCUUUACUAUAGCUUGACACUGAACAUUGAGCCUUGAUGUGUAGGAUAGGUGGGAGGCUUUGAAGCGUGGACGCCAGUCUGCGUGGAGCCGACCUUGAAAUACCACCCUUUAAUGUUUGAUGUUCUAACGUGGACCCGUAAUCCGGGUUGCGGACAGUGUCUGGUGGGUAGUUUGACUGGGGCGGUCUCCUCCUAAAGAGUAACGGAGGAGCACGAAGGUUGGCUAAUCCUGGUCGGACAUCAGGAGGUUAGUGCAAUGGCAUAAGCCAGCUUGACUGCGAGCGUGACGGCGCGAGCAGGUGCGAAAGCAGGUCAUAGUGAUCCGGUGGUUCUGAAUGGAAGGGCCAUCGCUCAACGGAUAAAAGGUACUCCGGGGAUAACAGGCUGAUACCGCCCAAGAGUUCAUAUCGACGGCGGUGUUUGGCACCUCGAUGUCGGCUCAUCACAUCCUGGGGCUGAAGUAGGUCCCAAGGGUAUGGCUGUUCGCCAUUUAAAGUGGUACGCGAGCUGGGUUUAGAACGUCGUGAGACAGUUCGGUCCCUAUCUGCCGUGGGCGCUGGAGAACUGAGGGGGGCUGCUCCUAGUACGAGAGGACCGGAGUGGACGCAUCACUGGUGUUCGGGUUGUCAUGCCAAUGGCACUGCCCGGUAGCUAAAUGCGGAAGAGAUAAGUGCUGAAAGCAUCUAAGCACGAAACUUGCCCCGAGAUGAGUUCUCCCUGAGACUUAGAGUCUCCUGAAGGAACGUUGAAGACGACGACGUUGAUAGGCCGGGUGUGUAAGCGCAGCGAUGCGUUGAGCUAACCGGUACUAAUGAACCGUGAGGCUUAACCUU
rnacentral:rRNA from 1 species